rnacentral:misc_RNA from 1 species
GAUGAAGAACGCAGCGAAACGCGAUAAGUAAUGUGAAUUGCAGAAUCCAUUGAAUCAUCGAAUCUUUGAACGCACAUUGCGCCCGCCAGCAUUCUGGCGGGCAUGCCUGUUCGAGCGUCAUUUCAACCCUCGACCUCCCCUUGGGGAGGUCGGCGUUGGGGACCGGCAGCACACCGCCGGCCCUGAAAUGGAGUGGCGGCCCGUCCGCGGCGACCUCUGCGCAGUAAUACAGCUCGCACCGGGACCCCGACGCGGCCACGCCGUAAAACACCCAACUUCUGAACGUUGACCUCGAAUCAGGUAGGACUACCCGCUGAACUUAAGCAUAUCAAUAAGCGGAGGA